rnacentral:rRNA from 1 species
AUACGUAGGUGGCAAGCGUUGUCCGGAAUUAUUGGGCGUAAAGCGCGCGCAGGUGGUUCCUUAAGUCUGAUGUGAAAGCCCCCGGGUCAACCGGGGAGGGUCAUUGGAAACUGGGGAACUUGAGUGCAGAAGAGGAUAGUGGAAUUCCAAGUGUAGCGGUGAAAUGCGUAGAGAUUUGGAGGAACACCAGUGGCGAAGGCGACUGUCUGGUCUGUAACUGACACUGAGGCGCGAAAGCGUGGGGAGCAAACAGGAUUAGAUACCCUGGUAGUCCACGCCGUAAACGAUGAGUGCUAAGUGUUGGGGGGUUUCCGCCCCUCAGUGCUGCAGCUAACGCAUUAAGCACUCCGCCUGGGGAGUACGGUCGCAAGACUGAAACUCAAAGGAAUUGACGGGG